rnacentral:rRNA from 1 species
GAUGAACGCUGGCGGCGUGCCUAACACAUGCAAGUCGAACGAAGCUUGACGGAUGAUUUCUUCGGAAUGAAACCAGAUAUGACUUAGUGGCGGACGGGUGAGUAACACGUGAGCAACCUGCCUUUCAGAGGGGGAUAACGGCUGGAAACGGUCUCUAAUACCGCAUGAUGUGUUCGGAUGGCAUCAUCUGAACAUCAAAGAUUUAUCGCUGAAAGAUGGGCUCGCGUCUGAUUAGAUAGUUGGUGGGGUAACGGCCUACCAAGUCUACGAUCAGUAGCCGGACUGGGAGGUUGAACGGCCACAUUGGGACUGAGAUACGGCACAGGCUCCUACGGGAGGAAGAAGUGGGGAAUAUUGCACAAUGGGGGAAACCCUGAAGCAGCAACGCGGCGUGAAGGAUGACGGUUUUCGGAUUGUAAACUUCUUUGCUUAGUGACGAAGACAGUGACGGUAGCUAAGGAAUAAGCAUCGGCUAACUACGUG